rnacentral:misc_RNA from 1 species
UCAAACUUGGUCAUUUAGAGGAAGUAAAAGUCGUAACAAGGUUUCCGUAGGUGAACCUGCGGAAGGAUCAUUAUCAGAGCUAGGGUCCUCGAGGCCCGAACUCCCUACACCCUAUGCCUACCGCCUGUGUCCGAUCCCCCCUUGACGCGGCUCGCUUCGCCGGGCAAAACCGUUCGGGGGGGUGACCAAUACCCACGGAAUGGCUGCGACCUGGUGUUACCAGGCGCGAAAACGGAAAGCUUCAGGAAAACUUUCAACAACGGAUCUCUUGGUUCUGGCAUCGAUGAAGAACGCAGC